AGGAGAGGAGAGGAGAGGAACAUAAAUGUGUUUUUGCUCAUUUGAACUCACCCUGACUCGAGUGUUUGCAGCAGCAGCGGACAGUUAAGAAGCCCCUCCGUCACGAAUAACACGUAUGGCACAUUGUCCUCCAGACACCACAAGAUCGCAGACCACGGAGACUGGCCUGGAUGGUCGUACUCAACCACCAGAGAGAAACAGGUCCAGGGGAAGUUGGGGCCAAUAUCCUGUUCAUACACCACCACACACACACUGUCAGGCACACUGGGAACAGGACAGAGUGUGAGAACAGCAUGUUUAGUCAUACUUAUUCAGACAGCGUGACGAAUGACCCCUAAACUGAAGAUCACUAUAAACAGCUAUUACAUGUAUACAUUUUGUUAUUGCCAGAAUAUAAAAUAAUGCCAUAUUCUGGUUGUGAUUUAUAAGUAAUUUGCUGAAAUUAGGCUGUGAUCUGGACUAAAAACAAACAGAAAAGAAUUAUACACUCAACAUAUAUCUCAAUAUUUUCAAUAGGCUCUUCUAAUAUAUGUUUUAACAUAUUUGAGCACAAACC